rnacentral:rRNA from 1 species
UGAUGAUGUCAAGGGUACACCCGUUCCCAUCUCGAACACGGUAGUUAAGCUUGGCGAUGCCGAAGAUACUUGGUUGGUAACGACCUGGGAAAAUAGGAAAGUGC